rnacentral:siRNA from 1 species
AUCAGAAAAUCGACUGGGAGCAGU